GGCAUACUCCCUCCCUCCCAAAAUUCUUGUUUUAAAUUUAUCUAAAUACGGAUGUAUCAAGUCAUGUUUUAAUAUUAGAUAUAUCCAUAUCUAGACAAAUUUAAGACAAAUUUUUUAAAACGGAGGAAGUAUUGA
rfam:Triticum aestivum genome assembly, contig: Triticum_aestivum_CS42_TGACv1_scaffold_374773_5AL